rnacentral:rRNA from 1 species
UACGAAGGGGGCUAGCGUUGUUCGGAAUUACUGGGCGUAAAGCGCACGUAGGCGGAUAUUUAAGUCAGGGGUGAAAUCCCGGGGCUCAACCCCGGAACUGCCUUUGAUACUGGGUAUCUCGAGUCCGAGAGAGGUGAGUGGAAUUCCGAGUGUAGAGGUGAAAUUCGUAGAUAUUCGGAGGAACACCAGUGGCGAAGGCGGCUCACUGGCCCGUUACCGACGCUCAGGCGCGACAGCGUGGGGAGCAA